rnacentral:lncRNA from 1 species
GUUGGCAGAUCUGAUAAUCAGAACAGAACUCCAAAGUGAUCCCAACAAAAGAUUAACAUCUUAUGAUUUCAAAAAGUUUGCCAACGCAAUUUCAGAAGCGUUCCCUCGAGAAAUCGUCAAGACCUAUUAUAUUCCUGGCAAUGGCCGGAGGAAGGAGAAAAAAGCCCCGAGGGGAAAAUUGUACAAUAAGUACACGAACAUCACCAAAAAAUAUAUGCGAGACGGAAUCAGAUCCAAAAUCCAUGAAGAAUUAGAAGAUGAGCCAGUUAUUGUCUAUAACACAGGUACCCAGUUUUUACUUUUUGUAACUAUUUUUCCUGAUAAUGAUCCACAUGUAUAAUUUUAAGAUAGCGCUCCUCAGUCAUAAAACCUGAGAGGUAACUUGCGGAAGUUAAAAUUUCAACAGAAUAAAGGCAACAUUUUCUUCGGGGAAUGAUACUUUAUUUGAUACUGAGUGCAACAAGUACAAGUGCAAUAUCUACCAUUUCGCAAUCAGAUGCAAGUAUUUCCCCUGAAAAAAAUUCUGCCUGUGUCUCUAUGAAUUUUUUAGAUGAAUUUAAAAUGUUUGAUGGAUUUCAUCCUUGUCUAAUCUUUCUUCUGUUGAUUUUUAGAGGCAAUAAAUGACGACGAGUAUCAGACAUCAGUCGAGUGGCUAAACAUUAGUAUUUCUCCAUGGAAUAUUGUCAUCCAAAAGUGGAAGAUAACAGCACCUAGAAGACUUCAUGAGUAUGAAAUCACAAAAGUUCCAAUUUCAGACUAUGUAGCUCUGUUUCCAGCCCUACAAUUAUCAGAAGGAUCUGAAUUGAUUGAAAUAGACUUUGGUGUCAAAUACAGAGAACACAAAGACUGCUUCCACGAGGCUUGGCCUCAUCUAAAAGAUGCACUCAUAACGCACGCUCAACGCAAAAUUAAGGAUGACCCAACAUUCAAAGCAAUAAUAAAAGCGAACAAAAUUGAUUUUGAUGUCUCCAAUAACGAUGAUAGAGAUAUUUUGGCAGUGCAUUGCCUUUUGCAUCUAAUACCUCUUGGCAACCCUAGAAAACGCACAUCUGAGGAGUCAGCGUCUUUUCGUCUAUCUCGAACCGAAGUAGUUAAUGGUUUUCUCCUUCGAGUUCUGACAGAAGGUACUCUGGAGACCGCUAUUACUGAGAGGACCGACAAUUUUUUAAAGCAAGGUGAACGUUGUCAAGCCUUUGUAGUUAUUUCAGGAAGCAAACCUCCUUACACAUAUAUUGUAGUGUUCAACAAUAUUAAGCAUUUUUUUAAGGACUUAGGAUCUGCAGUUGACAGCUGUUUCAAAACUUUUAUGGUGUUUGAUGUUCAGUAUCCAAGAGCUGCACUGCAGUGUUGGACAUUUAUUCAAAAGUUUAUUUACAACAUCAGCACAUCACAUGAUCUUCCAGAGUCGGCAUCACUGAGUACACUUGCAGCAGAUUUAGAUUUGGUGUAAUUUUUAAAUUUGAAAGGUUAAUUAAUGUAUAAUUAAUUUAAAUAUUCUUUUCAAUAUUCUUUUUUUGGAUAAAUGCAAGAACAGUUUUCUACUGUACACGACCUAUAUACUUUUUAUAAAUAACC